GAUGAACGCUGGCGGCGUGCCUAAUACAUGCAAGUCGAGCGAACAGACGAGGAGCUUGCUCCUCUGACGUUAGCGGCGGAAGGGUGAGUAACACGUGGAUAACCUACCUAUAAGACUGGGAUAACUUCGGGAAACCGGAGCUAAUACCGGAUAAUAUAUUGAACCGCAUGGUUCAAUAGUGAAAGACGGUUUUGCUGUCACUUAUAGAUGGAUCCGCGCCGCAUUAGCUAGUUGGUAAGGUAACGGCUUACCAAGGCAACGAUGCGUAGCCGACCUGAGAGGGUGAUCGGCCACACUGGAACUGAGACACGGUCCAGACUCCUACGGGAGGCAGCAGUAGGGAAUCUUCCGCAAUGGGCGAAAGCCUGACGGAGCAACGCCGCGUGAAUGAUGAAGGUCUUCGGAUCGUAAAACUCUGUUAUUAGGGAAGAACAAAUGUGUAAGUAACUAUGCACGUCUUGACGGUACCUAAUCAGAAAGCCACGGCUAACUACGUG
rnacentral:rRNA from 1 species